CAGUCGCCACGGGAAUACGGAGGGAGCUAGCGUUGUUCGGAAUUACUGGGCGUAAAGCGCACGUAGGCGGUUAUUCAAGUCAGAGGUGAAAGCCCGGGGCUCAACCCCGGAACUGCCUUUGAAACUAGAUGACUAGAAUCUUGGAGAGGUCAGUGGAAUUCCGGGUGUAGAGGUGAAAUUCGUAGAUAUUCGGAAGAACACCAGUGGCGAAGGCGACUGACUGGACAAGUAUUGACGCUGAGGUGCGAAAGCGUGGGGAGCAAACAGGAUUAGAUACCCCGGUAGUCCCUGUCUCUUAUAA
rnacentral:rRNA from 1 species